UCCUGGGGACAUUCCUGUGCAGAGUCUCAUUAACUCUCAGGAUGAGCCUGAGACAUGUCCCGUCACUCCCAUCUGACGGGUGCUGAGACUGAAGCCCAGAAGCUCAGCCCCUGACUUGCCCACGUCGCUCAGCCGGGAGCAGCAAAACGGGGAGUCAAGCUCCAGUCCGUGUGAUGCCGAAGUCCUUGCUCCUGCCUUGCUCCUGCCACCACCACUGGGAGUGUUUGCCUCAGGAAUGUGGACCAUUGAAGUAGCCCACGCUCCCACACCAAAAACCUGUUUUUCUGGAUUAGGAGGAAGCCCUAGUUCAGACAGGCCCUAAAGAAUAAUUAAGGAGCGCUGACAGGCCCCUCCUGGGGCAAGAUCAGCACCGUCUGGGACUGGCUGAGGGGCUGCAAGCUGGAGCCCCUACACUCAGACCACAGGGUGACACAGAGACAGCCUGCAGGGACCCAGGCAGGCAGCCUCCUCAUGGUCCGCAUGGUCCUAGUGUCAGGCCACUGGGAAGGUGGGCCAGUCCAGCUGACGGCGGCACCGGCCUGCAGAUCAGAGCACUGCCACCACCCCUUCCAGCUCUGCCGAGGUGGCCAUCGUGCCAGGCGGACGAGAAACUCAGCCUGACAGUGGUCAAUCUUGCCCAGUUGGAGAGGGCACAUCUGUGAUCCAAGGGCCUGUUCCAUGAGUCAUCUCCCUGCUAGGAGAAAAGGUGAAACUUCUUGGAGAUGCAGUGUGGCACAGAAGGAGGUCUUUGUGCUUCAGAGGUGGAGACAGACCUGGGUUCAAAUCUCCGUGCUGCUACUCACUGGCUGUGUGACCUGGGGCAUACACAAACCGGCACUGACAUCUGAGCAGCCACUACGCACGUUCACUGAAAGAGGACCAAUGGUGACUAAGAGAGGUGCUUCCAACUCUGUCCGGACCAGAGGGUCUGCUGGAAUGUACAGGCACUGGGAAAGGCUGAAGCCUCCUGGGAAAGUGACCACAGACUGACGUCAUCUGGAGAUGAAGACAGGGGAAUCAAGGCCAAGAACCCAGGGACUUCCCUGAGGAGGGCUCCCUAAGAAGGUGGAGCCCACAGCCCGCUAACCUUCCUUCAAUGACAGUGGGGGGCCCCUAACGGGCAUCCUGGGUGCUCGCUCUGGGACGAGCAUGAGGGUAACCCUAGUCAGUGUUCCUACUGCCCAGGCUAAACAUCUGCUUCAACCUCACAGUUCAUGAUUUUGCAUACCUUAUCAUUCAUUCCAGAGUCUCCCUCUCGCAUCUCAGGUGCUUCCUCCCUCUCCUCGAAGGGAAGGUCCAUGUAGCUAUUCACCCAGGAGAUAGGAAGCAAACUGGGCUUCGGAGAAAAAAUUCAAUGCCAUUACUGAUACCAUUUCCUCUCCAUUCUGCAACUGAGAACACAGUUGGCAGGCAACCUCGCCCCCCAGAUCUUGACAGAAGCUGGAGGGCUCUGCGAUCUGUGGGUGAGAUAAUGACACCACCUAAUUUGUUCUGAGCUCCCUGCAAGCUGCAGGGAAGAAGCCGGGAUUGUAGUUUGCUCUGAAAUACAAAAAUAAAAUAAAAGGUUGUGACAGAGAUUUAAAUGAGAAUAAAAUGCCAAUUAACUCAGAGGUAUUGGACCCGAA